UAAUAAACCAAACAACCCCAACGUUACCAAGCUGAAAGGCGCAUGGAAAACGGAUACAAAUAUAUAGUGGCAAUCGUCUUUAUGCUGCUCGCUGUUUCAAUCAUGUUUCCUCUUGCCAAUGCAAUGCCCAAAGGCGUGGCCAUUUACGGAAGCCGACGCACUAGCAAUUGGAACGGAUCGAAAACAACCCGGUCUGAUGCUACAUCGUUAACAACAGAUAUAUUUCCGUGCUCAAUAAUAACAGUCGCAGUCGUCAUCAUUCAGCAGAUUAAUUUCAUGCCACCAAUCACACUUUCCCGGUCAGGAUCGUGAUUACAGUGAUAAACAAUGAAGCUUGCGAUGUAAAUAAUAUGUAAACAAAUAUUAUUGUUAUUAUUGUAUUAUAUUCUACCUCGGCUAUAAACAAUAAAAAAUAUUUUGUUCACAAUUUGUUCCUUAUUUUAAUACAAAAAUAAUAAUUUCCAAAAUCUUAACCGUCAUUUUUAAAUAUAAUGACAACCAGCAACCGUUUUGAGUAGUGAACUCUCCGCUAUCAACAGAACGCUAUUUUGUGCUUAUGUCAAGCGUGGUUUAGCUCUCAUAUGGCACGCCAUCUUGUUUCCUCGUCGUAUUUCAACAAAAGUUGGCAGUGGAAUUCCUUCGAGAAAAUAUCCUAUUUAUCUACUCAAGAACUGUGUUAAUUUACCACGUUCUCAUAGAAAAUUGUUUCCUGCAUCAGUGGUGACUGCAGUAGAUUAAGUGCACAGCAUACAACAGCAGUUUGUACGCGGAAUGAAAAGUACCACAUUUUACGAUCACGAAACACGUAAAGAGCACCACAUCUCGGACAAGAUGGCGGCGGAUGACGAACUCAAUAACGAGGUGUUGAAUCUGCUAGAAGCGCCCUACAAGAAGGAGACGAUACUAAUGUCAGGUUCCGGUAUGAGUUUGGUACAGAGAGUGUGUGUAUUCAACUUCCAAGACAAAGGCUGAUCUCUGUAAAGGCUGCUCUGUGUCUGCUGGUUGGAAUAAAAGUAGGCAAAAUACACAAAAAGCUAUAUAAAUUGAUCAGUCACGAUUGACCCAUGAAGAAACCGCAAGCGCGCAUUAAUGUUACCGUCCUUUCGUAAAGGAUUAUACCCUACCUUGAUGGGAUAAACAGCAUAACAAGGAAAUCACAAUCAAGAUAAAAUAUCCUUUAUGACUACAUGCGGCGAAUAUAUCCCUCAAAGGCAGACUAUAAGAACGAAUAUUUUAUCAACAUCGUAGAGCGUGAUCGAAACCGAUGAGGCAAGUUUCAUCGAAUAUGUUUAAUCGCGUUUUCUUUUCUCCUAUAUUUUUCGUCCUAGAAUGUGGCUUAGACAUGGUCUUUCCCGACUAGGACGUACCGAGAUUGAUGGUACUAAGAGAACCUAAACUAUUCUCCCAUUGAUGUUCGUGUGUUGGUAGUUAGCUUACGCACCGUAACGUACCUUAUUAACUUCCUUAUUUUAAUUAUGCCCUUAUCAAAACAAUUUCUUGGUAGUUCGGCAGAAAAAGGUUAUCACAGUUAUGACGAUUGAUAGCUAACAAUGAAGAACUGUGUAACCUUUGCUGUCAUUGUCAUGCAAUGAAAAAUCGGUUCUUAAAACCGUGAUAGAUGCGCGUGUCUUGUUUGUUGCCUUAGUAUUUGCUCGUUCUAGGUUAAUCGGCUGUACGGCGGAAGUUAAAUAGAUUACCGUCACAACGGGAUCGCCUGGAACCGGGUGUAAGAAGCAACGAAAAAAAAGGAACAAAAGCUUCGAUGCUGCGUCCGUUGCUCUCUUUACAGGUGUCCUCCUUGUAGCGCGAUAAGGCAUCAGGAUCCAAGCAAGCUCAGGUGCAGCCGUUGGUGUCCAAUUGGGAGCGACUGGCUGAGGCUCUCCUCUCUCCACCUAAUACCGAAUCUAUAGAUUAUUUCUAGGUUCGCAAUUGUUUCGAUGGUCGGCUGGUUCAUAGUAUCGUGCAAUUCUCUCAGCUCGUUUGGGAUCCAAAAGGGCAAAGGAAGAUCCUUUCUUUCUCAUCCCCACCUACCACCCAUCGGUGUGAAGCUGCUCGUCAUCGUACGAUGACGACGAUGACAACGACGACGACUACGACUGCGAUGCCUACUGUGUUGUGUGUGAUCUAUGACAAUUUUGAACAGAUUCUUUACAGAUCGAUCAAUUGAUGCCGUAACCAGCCGAUGUAUUUAUUGCAAAUUGGCCGCCUUGUUGCGUGAUGCCAUUCGCUACGGUGACAUAUGGUCAGAUGUGCGUAUGUGCCCGUCAUUGGUAAUUCUGUUAGAAGCAACUGGAUUAUAUGCAUACGUACAACCCGAAGAAGCAAACUCUAGCUCUUGCAAAACGUGCUUUGAUGGUUUCUUGCUUCGCUGCACGAGCAAUCGCUAAAGGCAUUAUUUUCCUUUUGCAGAUGAAUUGCUCUUGGUUGCGUGGAUAACUCCCGCGGAUGGCUAAUGGCAUAGCAUUGUGCAUUUCGCCAGGAACACGUCUCGUCUGAAAGUAAACUGUACAUACACAUAUAUAGGUCCCGUUAACCUGUUGCUAAUAAUAAUGCAAUUGCAACGCAUUUGCAAAAAAUCAAUCCUCAAACAACUCAACCUUCGCUCAAAACCGAUCCUACCUGGCGUUGCGCAGAGCCAUCCUUCCCCGUGUCGGUGGUGGCUGGUCUGCGGAAGAUGGAAAGAUCGAUUGAUCCUGUGCCGGAACCGGUGUAUUAUAGAAUGAUAGACAAGGCUUGUUCGACUCGAUGUAACAGCGGAAUCAAACACAAGCCUAUUUGUUUUGUUUUUUUCUGCGUAGGUAAACCGAACUGACAGCGAGCCCCGAUCAGUGUGGUGUGGACGUAAAUCGACUGACUUGCUAGCUGAAAUAAUGUUCAAUCUCUCGUCUUCCAUCUUGAAUCUGUUUUCUCUUAUACUUGCAUAUUACUUCUGCUGUGUGCGUGUGGAUUUGAAUGCGUUCUCGUGCACGCACGGGAUCGAUGGCAUUACUGUGUCUUUGCCGCAUCACUGCGACCAUUCCCUCCUGCAUUCCAAGAGUGAAUGUACAAUCCUGUCAAAAUGCAAGCGUAUUAAAUUAAUCCGAUAUUUCGUUGUUUUCUCUUCUCUUUCCCUUUCUUUUUUUAUUUUAUCUUCUUUUUUUUCUUUU